rnacentral:rRNA from 1 species
UGGGGAAUUUUGGACAAUGGGCGAAAGCCUGAUCCAGCAAUGCCGCGUGUGUGAAGAAGGCCUUCGGGUUGUAAAGCACUUUUGUCCGGAAAGAAAUCCUUGGCUCUAAUACAGUCGGGGGAUGACGGUACCGGAAGAAUAAGCACCGGCUAACUACGUGCCAGCAGCCGCGGUAAUACGUAGGGUGCAAGCGUUAAUCGGAAUUACUGGGCGUAAAGCGUGCGCAGGCGGUUUGCUAAGACCGAUGUGAAAUCCCCGGGCUCAACCUGGGAACUGCAUUGGUGACUGGCAGGCUAGAGUAUGGCAGAGGGGGGUAGAAUUCCACGUGUAGCAGUGAAAUGCGUAGAGAUGUGGAGGAAUACCGAUGGCGAAGGCAGCCCCCUGGGCCAAAUACUGACGCUCAUGCACGAAAAGCGUGGGGAGCAAAACAGGAUUAGAUACCCUGGUAGUCCACGCCCUAAAACGAUGUCAACUAGUUGUUGGGGAUUCAUUUCCUUAGUAACGUAGCUAACGCGUGAAGUUGACCGCCUGGGGGAGUACGGUCGCAAAGAUUAAAAACUUAAAGGAAUUG